ACUCCCGUGGCAGGUAGAAUGGCCUCAUGCCCACCGCUAACAGCUCAAUGUCUCUGUUACACGGCUUCAUUUUGACAUACACCACCUGAUGUUCACAAACACAGCCAGACCCCCUCCCUUCCUCUUGGCCUGAAGCGUCUCGUUUUCUCCCGUCGUAGUUUUCUGGCGCGGCGCCCACGUCGGGUCUUCACCAGCACCUCAGCGGUGAUCUCGUGUCUGUCUCUGGGCAGAACUACGGUGCUGCGCAGCGCGAUCAGCUGCUCCGCGGUGUAAACAAUGCGCGCUCUGACCCCGACGCACAUCGUAGCUUUAAAACAGCGUUUGUACUGCGCCAAACUUAGAAAAACUAUAUAAAAGCUGUGUACAGGUUGUGUACACUAAUGCUACUAACAAAACACUAGAAAGACAAACUUGAGUAGGUGAAGAAAGUAAUAAAUAGAAGUAAGAGGACAGGAGCUGUUGUGACCAGCAGCCAGCUCGACCGGCGCCGGAGAAAAAAAGAAGAAGAAGAAAAAAAGAAAUAUAGUACUGUCGCUUUUAAGAUGAUCACAUUUUAACCCAAACUAUCGUAUGGAAUUUAACAACUUUAAAAGUCACGUGAAUUUUAAAACAAACUUAUUCUAUGGGCACAUAGCCUAUGGAAAUCAAGGAGGUUCAGUUAUUUCGACAAUUUUAUUGAUUUUCAGAACUAGAGACUUGAUGUCGUGUCCGUGUUUUCUUCUGCAUGCUUUUAACAUCGUAAUGUCCAACGCACCUUGAAUACCGCAGCGGCAGAAGGAUUCGGCCUCAUUGAACAGGUUGAAUCCGCUCCUGAACCGUAGCGUGCGUCCAACUCGCAGACAGGCCGGUAAAGUAGCUUGGUCUAUUGGCCAGUCUCUGCACCACCGGAGUCUUUUACUAGUUUGUUAACAUUUUGAACUCGCGUUUCUUAUUUUCGCUCUAAACACGAUAAUUACUGUAUGACUGGCAACACUGAUACAUGAUGGCAAGCAGAGGCAGAGAAGCAUCUCCUACAACUGCAGGGGGUUUCCUUUGGUUAAACAAAUUCUAUCUCUGCUCUUUAAGUUUGUUUCGGUUUGUUCCGUGUAAUUCUAAUUUAAACUAUUGGUUGAUUACUAUUUUUGUUUCAGGUGCCCCAACCAACCUUCUUAUCAAGCCUCUCUUCCACCGCUACCACCUCUUAGCAAGCCUCGGGUGGGACGGGUUCAUCCUCUGUGCUGAGACUUAAUUAUGAUAUGCCACAGCAACGUCAGCCCCAAGUAUUGGCUGAGGUGGAGUCAACUUUAGCAGCAGGGAUGCAGCAUCAUAAUGCACAAGACUGCGCCCUACAGAACCUCGCAGCGCAGAUGAAGGCACUCCCUAAAGUUGUGGGCUGUGAGCUGCCACCUACUCGGGAUUUGCUGGUUAUCGACGGACAUGGAUCUACUCUGCAGCUUGCAUUAUUACACGCCAAGUGUGUGUUUCACUGUUUGAUAAUGGAAGGGAACCAACUCAAUACUUGGUGGAGAAAACGUUGGCUGCAAUACAUCUGAAUCUGAACUGUGAUAAAGAAAAAUAACGUGACAGCGGAUGAAGUUUGUUCCCGAGAAAAGGAAAAAAAAAAACAGUUGUGAUUCUGAUGUUGGUAAUAACAUGAGAUGUAUUCAUUAGGUAAUACUACAGAAAAUGUCUUAUUACCAAUAUGUUUCUUCAUAGUGUGAAUUUGAGGUUUGACUUGGAGUUUUGACAUGCUGCAUUUUUCACGCAGUCACUUUGGUUUUGACAUUAAUUUUGUCGAUUUGAUUCUGCUUCAAACAAAAGCUCUAAGAUUUGACCAAGAAUGGGUUUAGGUUUAUUGAAGACAUUUACACAGACACGUCUACUGAAGAAGUGGCGUAACUGUACUGUAGCUAAAUGUACAAUAGUACCAGUAGUUCCACUCCUCUAUUGUAGCUUUGACUUGUCUGUAGU